UACAAUCAAUGGGACUUAACUCAUGGGAAC
rnacentral:piRNA from 1 species